rnacentral:rRNA from 1 species
AAGAUGAAAAGAACUUUGAAAAGAGAGUUAAACAGUACGUGAAAUUGUUGAAAGGGAAACGAUUGAAGUCAGUCAUACCAACGGGAAAUCAACCUUUUGAGCUCGGUCUCGUGGGUUUUGAAGAGUUUCAAAGCCUUCGGAUUCGCGGGAUUGGGAUCUCUCGGUGUACUUUUUCGUACGGUUAGUCAACAUCGGUUUUGAAUGUCAUAAAAUGACUGGAGGAAUGUAGCUU